rnacentral:rRNA from 1 species
UAGGGUUUGAUCAUGGCUCAGAAUGAACGCUAGCGGAAAGCUUAACACAUGCAAGUCGAAUGUUUUAAAAACAUGGCGAACGGGUGAGUAACGCGUAAGAACCUACCAAAAAAUUCAUGGGAAUCGUGAAUAUUCAAAGAUUUGAUUAUCGUUUUUUGAUGGGCUUGCGUAAGAUUAGAUAGUUGGUGUGGUAAAAGCAUACCAAGUCGAUGAUCUUUUACUGGUCUUAGCGGAUGGCCAGUCACACUGGGACUGAGAUACGGCCCAGACUCUAUUUGGAGGCAGCAGUGAGGAAUCUUGGACACUGAGCGCGAGCUUGAUCCAGCUAUUUCGCGUGGGUGAUGAAGGUUAUAUUGAUCGUAAAGCCCUUUCAUGAAGAUGUCAAGAUAAUGUCUUAACUUCAAGAAGAAGCUCCGGCAAAUUCUGUGCCAGCCGCCGCGGUAAUACA